rnacentral:ncRNA from 1 species
CAAUAUUACAAAGCGCCUGUGCAAGCUAUUAAUGACAUGUGAGGAUUAGAAAUUAAAUCUAUUUGUAUAAAUUUCUAUAGCGUACAUUUAUAACUUGUAGACGAGGAGGAUAGUGAUCGAAUAGAUCGGCGGAUGCUAUCCCGGAUGUGGCUCAUUCGUUAGCUUAUUAAGUAAAACAGUAGGGUAACCUAUUGGACAAAGUUAAUAAGAUCGCCAAUU